AUUGAACGCUGGCGGCAGGCCUAACACAUGCAAGUCGAACGAGUGGCGGACGGGUGAGUAAUGUCUGGGAAACUGCCUGAUGGAGGGGGAUAACUACUGGAAACGGUAGCUAAUACCGCAUACCAUCGGAUGUGCCCAGAUGGGAUUAGCUAGUAGGUGGGGUAAAGGCUCACCUAGGCGACGAUCCCUAGCUGGUCUGAGAGGAUGACCAGCCACACUAGAACUAAGACAGGGUCCGGACUCCUACGGGAGGCAGCAGUGGGGAGUAUUACACAAUAAGCGCAAGCCGGAUGCAACCAUACCGAAUGUAUGAAGAAGGCCUUCGGGUUGUAAAGUACUUUCAGCGGGAGGACGUUACCCGCAGAAGAGACGCCGGCUAACUCCGUGCCGGCAGCCGCGGUAAUUC
rnacentral:rRNA from 1 species